rnacentral:lncRNA from 1 species
CAAGAACGUUGCUUUCCACGGCCUAUGUCCCCAUGACAUACCUAGCCAUGCCCUCCCCCUGCCCCUCGCACAGCCCGCACUGGGCUGCCAGCCCAUCACCUGCAGCUGCCCUGGUGGGGCCGCAGCUGCAAGCGGGGCAGUGCGGGGCUGCUGGGGCUGCCAGGGAGGCGGCUGCAGCACGAGUACCUUCCUGUGAGCAGAAGGCGCGUCUUCUUCUCCGUGAUGCUCUGCUGGCAGGACGGGUCUCUGCAGAGCUGCUGUUCUUCUGCUGGUGAUGGAGCAGCAUCAGGCGUUGGUCUUCAUCGUACUGAGGGGAGAGUGGUGUCCCAGGACCCAAUGGCUCAUCUGAAACAGAGACAAAGUUCUUUUCAGCAACUUUCACUAUUGCAGUCUAUAAAUUAACUAUCUCCCAGUCACCCAUCUUUCUAUCCUGCAUCCCCCUAUCAGCUAUCUGGCUAUGAUCUAACUACAUUGCUACUAACUCUUGCUUGCUGCUAACUACCUUGCUAUCCACAAACUACCUCUCUACCAAUAACCCACCUAGCUAUCUGCUAUCUGUUCGCUACCUGUAUACAACCAUCAGCUAUCAACGUCGCUAUCAACUAAUCUACGUCGCUAUCAACUAAUCUACGUCGCUAUCAACUAUCAUCAUACCCUCUUACUAUCUAUACAACAACUAUCUCUAUAUCCUCUUCUUCAUCAUCUGCUUCUACUGGCCCCUGAUCCCUCCCGGGGCUGCUCUCCUCCCGUCCCUCACACUGCCCGCUCUGGGCUGCCAGCCCGUGAUCUCCCUGCUGGUAGGCGGGGCUGCUGGGGGCUGCUGGCGGCUGAGAAGGAAGCCGGGGGCUGCAGCACGGCCAGAGGGGCUGCCAAAAAAUCCGGGGGCUGCAGCACGGCCAGAGGAGGGGCUGCCAAGGAAGGUGGGGGCUGCAGCACGGCCAGAGGAGCUGCAGCCACCACCGGCCCCAGCAGCACGGGCACUGCCAGCCAGGGGUGGCAAGGGCAGGCAGGGCGGCCCAGGGAGCCCGCAGCGGCG